CACAAGCGAAGUUAACACCAUGUAGGGGAGCAGGUGCCUUAAAGUCUGACUUCGCCCCCAAAAGAACCAGAUGUCUACAAUCAAGACUUUUAGACCUGAAAUUCUUCAGAGAGCAGGGGCAAUAUUGGAUUUCACACUUGCAGCACUAGAUGAGUAAUUAUUUUUUUGACACCAACUCUGCAGAGCUGUGUGGAAAACAGUUUGCUGUACAUUCUUCUGCACUGAGCCUUCCUUGAUCGGAUCCAUCCGAAGUGCGCAGUAGCUCAACUAGCCGUACCUCAAGAGACAGGAAUUGUGCAGCAGUUAUCUUAUCCAUUCAGAACCUCUCAAGUCAAAUAUGUGGAAACUACCAUAAGCUGCAAUUUGCACAGGCCACGUCUACACCAGGAACUAGGCAUUAACAGUUUGCUAUACCAGCAAAGCUGUACUUUCACGAGUAUAGCUCAUGUCUCACACACCCUCCACACACACCCUAUGCAUGCACACACUUCCCCCAAGUCAAACAAGCUAUACCAGGAGAAGUGUGGCUUUGUCAGUGUAACUGCAUCUAAUACCAGGGGCUUUUCCAAGCACAGCUGUGUCGGUCAGGGACCACAGCUCUUCAUACCCCUGUCAACACAGCAGCUACGUCAGCAGAAGUCUGGAGCAUAGACACAGCCUCAGACGCUGCAACUUGGUGCUGAGGUUGGCUGCUCCACCUUUUCAGAUGCCUGUGUGAAGUCAGCAAAAGAUUCUUUAAAAACCUCACAUCCUUAUUACUUAAGUGAUCAAGAAAGAGUUUUACCCCUGGCCACUUAGAAUUAUUCUCAUUGCAUAAGCAGCAAAAACCUAUAGAACAAUUAAGGUUAUCCAGUUAAGCUGGUUUAAGUUUACCUAAAGGGUGCAAUGCUGAAAACAAGCCAUUGAACUCCUUGCAGAAAGGACACAAACAAUGUACAUGACUGGCUGGAUUUUCUAACACCCCUCAUGUACCAGGAUACAUUCAACCUGUUAUAAGGACACACUACAUAUCCAUUUGAUGGGUGCAUUUAAUGCCUGAUCCAAAGUCCACUGAAGUCAAUGGGAGUCGGAUAAAUCUCUUAGGCAACACUAUACAGUGGUACCCACAAUUAUUUGUUUGGUCUGGACAGGCAACUGAAAGAAGACAAAUUCAACUUUUUAUCUUAAUUUCCCUCCCCUCACGCCCCCCAAGAAAUUCUAGACAUUGCUGAUCAUUUAAGAUCUUUAAUCAUUUAAGAAAGAAUUUUGAAGUUCUCCUCUGAGCCAGAUAUGACCUCCCUAGUGCUGUUAGUCAGCAUGUGGCUAUUACAAGAGAGUUGGCUACUGGA